GCCGGAGUGGUGAAACUGGUAGACGCGCUGGACUCAAAAUCCAGUUGUCCUUGCGACAGUGGGGGUUCGAUUCCCCCCUCCGGCACCA
rnacentral:tRNA from 1 species